rnacentral:rRNA from 1 species
CACGUAGUUAGCCGUGACUUUCUCACAGGGUACCGUCACUGUCUUCUUCCCCUGCGACAACAGUUUACAAUCCGAAGACCUUCUUCCUGCACGCGGCGUUGCUGCGUCAGGGUUGCCCCCAUUGCGCAAUAUUCCCCCACUGCUGCCUCCCGUAGGAGUCUGGGCCGUGUCUCAGUCCCAAUGCGGCCGAUCAACCUCUCAGUUCGGCUACAGAUCGUCGCCUUGGUGAGCCGUUACCUCACCAACCAGCUAAUCUGACGCGAGUCCAUCCAUAAGCGAUAAAUCUUUCAAAAUUCUAUGAUGCCAUAAAAUUUCAAUAUGCGGUAUUAGUCCUCGUUUCCAAGGAUUAUCCCCCUCUUAUGGGCAGGUUACUCACGCGUUACUCGCCCGUCCGCCACUUUCCACCCAACAGUUCACCCCGAAGGGAUCACAAAUGGGUUUUCUCGUUCGACUUGCAUGUGUUAGGCACGCCGCCAGCGUGUCCUGUGCCGACGAGUCAAACGUCU